UGGGGAAUAUUGGACAAUGGGGGCAACCCUGAUCCAGCGAUACCGCGUGAGUGAUGAAAGUUUUCGGAUUGUAAAGCUCUUUCAGAAGGGACGAUAAUGACGGUACCUUCAGAAGAAGUCCCGGCAAACUCUGUGCCAGCAGCCGCGGUAAUACAGAGGGGACUAGCGUUGUUCGGAAUGACUGGGCGUAAAGGGCGCGUAGGCGGUUUAUAGAGUCAGACGUGAAAGCCCCGGGCUUAACCUGGGAGGUGCGUAUGAUACCUAUAGACUAGAGAGUAAGAGAGGGAAGUGGAAUUCCAAGUGUAGAGGUGAAAUUCGUAGAUAUUUGGAGGAACACCGAUGGCGAAAGCAACUUUCUGGCUUAUUUCUGACGCUGAGGCGCGAAAGCGUGGGGAGCAAA
rnacentral:rRNA from 1 species